AGUCAUAUGCUUGUCUCAAAGAUUAAGCCAUGCAUGUGUAAGUACGGGCCCGUGCACGGCGAAACUGCGAAUGGCUCAUUAAAUCAGCCGUGGUUCCUUAGAUCGUCUCGAGUCCAGGAUAACCGUAGUAAUUCUAGAGCUAAUACAUGCACGCAAGCCCCGAUCCCCCGCGGAGAAGGGCGCUUUUAUUAGACCAAGACCAGCGCGCGGCUCCGGCCGCGCCGCCCCGUGUCGACUCUGGAUAACUUCCCGCCGAUCGCACGGCCCCGGCGCCGGCGACGCAUCUUUCAAACGUCUGCCCUAUCAACUGUCGAAGGUAGGCGACCUGCCUACCUUGGUCGCAACGGGUAACGGGGAAUCAGGGUUCGAUUCCGGAGAGGGAGCAUGAGAAACGGCUACCACAUCCAAGGAAGGCAGCAGGCGCGCAAAUUACCCACUCCCGACGCGGGGAGGUAGUGACGAAAACUAACAAUACGGGACUCUUUCGAGGCCCCGUAAUUGGAAUGAGUACACCUUAAAUCCCUUAACGAGGAUCUAUUGGAGGGCAAGUCUGGUGCCAGCAGCCGCGGUAAUUCCAGCUCCAAUAGCGUAUAUUAAAGUUGUUGCAGUUAAAAAGCUCGUAGUUGGAUCUCGGGCGGCGGCCGGCGGUUCGGGUCCGCGCCCGCCUACCGCCGGCCGCACCCAACCGGCGGGACGUGCCGGGUGCCCUUGACUGGGUCGCCCGGCGCACCCGCCCAGUUUACUUUGAAAAAAUUAGAGUGUUCAAGGCAGGCUGCGACGCCUGGAUAGCGGCGCAUGGAAUGAUGGAACAGGACCUCGGUUCUAUUUUGUUGGUUUUCGGAAGUCGAGGUAAUGAUUGAGAGGGACAGACGGGGGCAUUCGUACUGCGGCGUUAGAGGUGAAAUUCUUGGAUCGCCGCAAGACGGACUACUGCGAAAGCAUUUGCCAAGAAUGUUUUCGUUAAUCAAGAACGAAAGUCAGAGGUUCGAAGACGAUCAGAUACCGUCCUAGUUCUGACCAUAAACGAUGCCGACCAGCGAUCCGCCGGAGUUGCCUUGAUGACCCGGCGGGCAGCUCCCGGGAAACCAGAGUCUCUGGGUUCCGGGGGAAGUAUGGUUGCAAAGCUGAAACUUAAAGGAAUUGACGGAAGGGCACCACCAGGAGUGGAGCCUGCGGCUUAAUUUGACCCAACACGGGGAAACUCACCCGGCCCGGACACCGCGAGGAUUGACAGAUCGAGAGCUCUUUCUUGAUUCGGUGGGUGGUGGUGCAUGGCCGUUCUUAGUUGGUGGAGCGAUUUGUCUGGUUAAUUCCGAUAACGAACGAGACUCUGGCCUGC
rnacentral:rRNA from 1 species